rnacentral:rRNA from 1 species
GACGAACGCUGGCGGCGUGCUUAACACAUGCAAGUCGAACGGAAAGGCCCUGCUUUUGUGGGGUGCUCGAGUGGCGAACGGGUGAGUAACACGUGAGUAACCUGCCCUUGACUUUGGGAUAACUUCAGGAAACUGGGGCUAAUACCGGAUAGGAGCUCCUGCUGCAUGGUGGGGGUUGGAAAGUUUCGGCGGUUGAGGAUGGACUCGCGGCUUAUCAGCUUGUUGGUGGGGUAGUGGCUUACCAAGGCUUUGACGGGUAGCCGGCCUGAGAGGGUGACCGGCCACAUUGGAACUGAGAUACGGCCCAGACUCCUACGGGAGGCAGCAGUGGGGAAUAUUGCACAAUGGGCGGAAGCCUGAUGCAGCAACGCCGCGUGCGGGAUGACGGCCUUCGGGUUGUAAACCGCUUUCGCCUGUGACGAAGCGUGAGUGACGGUAAUGGGUAAAGAAGCACCGGCUAACUACGUG